UACGUAGGGUGCGAGCGUUAAUCGGAAUUACUGGGCGUAAAGCGUGCGCAGGCGGUUCGUUGUGUCGGCGGUGAAAGCCCCGGGCUCAACCUGGGAAUGGCCGUUGAAACUGGCGAACUGGAGUGUGGCAGAGGGGGGGUGGAAUUCCGCGUGUAGCAGUGAAAUGCGUAGAGAUCCGGAAGAACACCGGUGGCGAAGGCGGUCUGCUGGGCAGUAGCUGACACUGAGGCGCGACAGCGUGGGGAGCAAACAGG
rnacentral:rRNA from 1 species